UACGUAGGGUGCAAGCGUUGUCCGGAAUUAUUGGGCGUAAAGAGCUCGUAGGCGGUUUGUCGCGUCUGCUGUGAAAACUCGGGGCUUAACCCCGGGCCUGCAGUGGGUACGGGCAGACUAGAGUGCGGUAGGGGAGACUGGAAUUCCUGGUGUAGCGGUGAAAUGCGCAGAUAUCAGGAGGAACACCGGUGGCGAAGGCGGGUCUCUGGGCCGUAACUGACGCUGAGGAACGAAAGCGUGGGGAGCGAACAGG
rnacentral:rRNA from 1 species